AUGCAUCUAUUGACAGCCCUGGAGCAGUUACUGACUGUUACUAAGGUUAUCGCUACAGAUGCAAGAAAAAAGUGUCCUGUCUUACUGUGACAGCCCAGACUGAAUGGAGGAAUACAGAG
rnacentral:snoRNA from 1 species